UCUCUGUAACUUCAUAACAUUGGUGCUUCCACAAUAAUAAAUAUGGAGCAUGUAACUUAGACCAACCUAAUACUGAGAGGAAGCCAGAGAAACUAUGGUUUGAUAAAAAUGGACGCUUCCUGUUUCAGAACUGAUGUAUUCGGUUUCAGCUGCCAUCUCUCACAUUAAACAUGUGCUGCUAAGCUUCCUUUACUCAAGAGUCAGAUCCUGAAUUCCUGCAAGACCACAUAUACCUGAAUGGAAGAAAAGAUAUAUAGACGUUCAUUACUGAUCCUUUGGGCCUUUUGAAAAGACACAUUUUUUUAACCAGUGGGUUUUAUGCACAGGGCUUUUUUUCUCACAGAAUGCCCAGAACGGAGUUCCAGCACCUUUUCUGGAUGGAACCUUGUAGGAACUCUAUUAAAGGAGCAGAACUGAUUGACAACUGCAAAUGUUGAAGAGGAUCAUUAAUCCCAGUAAAACUGAUCAUUACGUGCUUUCUGAAAUAUGAAACCUAUCCGGGUGGCCAAAGAAACAAGAGAUGUUUCCUGUGAGUGAAAUAUCAGGAUCUUUUAAAAGAAGCAACAUUACUUAUGAAUAUGAGCCCCCUAUUUGAAGACCAUAAUAAAUAAUAAAAA